rnacentral:rRNA from 1 species
AACGAACGCUGGCGGCAUGCCUAACACAUGCAAGUCGAACGAGACCUUCGGGUCUAGUGGCGCACGGGUGCGUAACGCGUGGGAAUCUGCCCUUGGGUUCGGAAUAACAGUUGGAAACGACUGCUAAUACCGGAUGAUGACGUAAGUCCAAAGAUUUAUCGCCCAAGGAUGAGCCCGCGUAGGAUUAGCUAGUUGGUGAGGUAAAGGCUCACCAAGGCGACGAUCCUUAGCUGGUCUGAGAGGAUGAUCAGCCACACUGGGACUGAGACACGGCCCAGACUCCUACGGGAGGCAGCAGUGGGGAAUAAUGGACAAUGGGCGAAAGCCUGAUCCAGCUAUGCCGCGUGAGUGAUGAAGGCCUUAGGGUUGUAAAGCUCUUUUACCCGGGAUGAUAAUGACAGUACCGGGAGAAUAAGCACCGGCUAACUCCGUG